CUCUCUCUCUCUCUCUUUCUCUCUCUCUCUCUCUGAAUCUUCAAGCUUCAUCUCUACACUGACAAAUUACAGCAAUUACUUUCAAUGCUCUGCUCUGCUCAGUUUUGCUCUGCUUGCAAAGAUGGCAAUAUAGUAACAUUGUGUGUUAGUGUGUGUGAGUGUGCGUGUCUGUGUGUGUUUGUGAGUGUGUGUGACCACAGUCCUUGAGCAUGAGACUCAGCAGGGAGAUUGUGUGGAAGAUGAAGAAAUAGAGACACAGAAGAGUUAUGGGGAAGAAAAAAAGUCAAAUAAAAGGCAAGACAUUAAAAAAUGAAAUGAGCAAAGAGAGAGAGGGAGAGGGAUUGAGGCAAGGGGAGGGAGAAAGUAGGUGGGGGAGAGAGGUGGAGAUAUGGAUGGAGAGGGAAAAGAAAAGGGUAAGGAAGGAAAAAAGUUGUGAUUCAGAGUGUGAUUUGUGAGACUGUCCUUCCUCACUUCACACAACUGACUGGCUCCUCUAUGAUGAACACAAUCAGAACUGAGAGAAAAAGAGAAAGGAGAGAGAGCGAGAGGGAAGGAGAGAGUUACUGGGGUAGACAGAGGGGAGAGGGAAAUCGAAACACGGCAGAGAGACAGGAAGAACGAGAGAGGGAGGCAGAGGAAAGAGAGGCUACCAAAACAGCUUACAAAGAAAUGUUCUGGUGGCUGGCCAGGGGAUGUCGGUGUUAUCGAGCUGAGUGGAUGGUUACUGAAUAUGCAUCUGUGUGUUGGUGAGAGUGAGUCACAGUGUUUUGAACAAGACCCUUCUCAGCCGCCCUUCUCCCUACAAGCUGAGGUCAUCGAAACCCUGCUAAAUGAUCUGUGGGCUCGCUCCUUCACUAGUAGGAGGCAGAGGUGCUAUUGGAGGAACAUGAAGAGGAGAAGGAGGAGAGGGAGAAAGAAGACAGGAAAGAGUAGGAGGUGCAUGAAGAGGAGGUUGAGAGGAAGGAGUAGGAGGAUCAUAUAAAUCUAUAAAUGAGACAGUAAUACAAUAUAUAGCCUGAUAUUACAGACAAAAUCCUUACGGUCUCUGAGAUUGACUUGUUUUGUUAAAUGUGUUGUUACCAAGGUAGAGACUUCAUGUAGUCAUGGUAAUAUUUAGUGCUGUAUGCCCAACCAUCAACACAUCUACACACAACACAUCUACACACAACACAGAACACAUCUACACCCAACCAUCAACACAUCUACACACAACACAUCUACACACAACACAGAACACAUCUACACCCAACCAUCAACACAUCUACACACAGCCAUCAACACAUCUACACACAACCAUCAACACAUCUACACCCAACCAUCAACACAUCUACACCCAACCAUCAACACAUCUACACCCAACACAAAGACCAACACACAACACAUCUACACUCAACACAAAGACCAACACACAACACAUCUACACCUAACAAAAAGACCAACACAUGUACACUCAAUACAAAUACCAACACUCAGCACAUCUACACUCAAUACAAAUGCUAAUCUUCAACACAUCUAUACCCAACACAAAGACCAACCUUCAACACAUCUACACCCAACACAAAGACCAAC
ensembl:lncRNA